rnacentral:rRNA from 1 species
GAGCCACUUCGGUGGGGAUUAGUGGCGAACGGGUGAGUAACUUUGUGGGCAAUCUGCCCUGCACUCUGGGACAAGCCCUGGAAAUGGGGUCUAAUACCGGAUACUGACCUUCACGGGCAUCUGUGAAGGUCGAAAGCUCCGGCGGUGCAGGAUGAGCCCGCGGCCUAUCAGCUUGUUGGUGAGGUAAUGGCUCACCAAGGCGACGACGGGUAGCCGGCCUGAGAGGGCGACCGGCCACACUGGGACUGAGACACGGCCCAGACUCCUACGGGAGGCAGCAGUGGGGAAUAUUGCACAAUGGGCGAAAGCCUGAUGCAGCGACGCCGCGUGAGGGAUGACGGCCUUCGGGUUGUAAACCUCUUUCAGCAGGGAAGAAGCGAAAGUGACGGUACCUGCAGAAGAAGCGCCGGCUAACUACGUGCCAGCAGCCGCGGUAAUACGUAGGGCGCAAGCGUUGUCCGGAAUUAUUGGGCGUAAAGAGCUCGUAGGCGGCUUGUCACGUCGGUUGUGAAAGCCCGGGGCUUAACCCCGGGUCUGCAGUCGAUACGGGCAGGCUAGAGUUCGGUAGGGGAGAUCGGAAUUCCUGGUGUAGCGGUGAAAUGCGCAGAUAUCAGGAGGAACACCGGUGGCGAAGGCGGAUCUCUGGGCCGAUACUGACGCUGAGUAGCGAAAGCGUGGGG